GGGGAAUAUUGGACAAUGGGCGCAAGCCUGAUCCAGCCAUGCCGCGUGGGUGAAGAAGGCCUUCGGGUUGUAAAGCCCUUUUGUUGGGAAAGAAAUCUCUCGGGAUAACACCCUGGGAGGAUGACGGUACCGUAAGAAGAAGCACCGGCUAACUACGUGCCAGCAGCCGCGGUAAUACGUAGGGUGCGAGCGUUAAUCGGAAUUACUGGGCGUAAAGCGUGCGCAGGCGGUGAUGUAAGACAGAUGUGAAAUCCCCGGGCUCAACCUGGGAACUGCGUUUGUGACUGCAUCACUCGAGUACGGCAGAGGGAGGUGGAAUUCCGCGUGUAGCAGUGAAAUGCGUAGAUAUGCGGAGGAACACCGAUGGCGAAGGCAGCCUCCUGGGCCAGUACUGACGCUCAUGCACGAAAGCGUGGGGAGCAAACA
rnacentral:rRNA from 1 species